UACGUAGGUGGCAAGCGUUAUCCGGAAUUAUUGGGCGUAAAGCGCGCGCAGGCGGUCCUUUAAGUCUGAUGUGAAAGCCCACGGCUCAACCGUGGAGGGUCAUUGGAAACUGGGGGACUUGAGUGCAGAAGAGGAGAGCGGAAUUCCACGUGUAGCGGUGAAAUGCGUAGAGAUCCGGAGGAACACCAGUGGCGAAGGCGGCCGCCUGGGCCUGACCUGACGCUGAGGCGCGAAAGCGUGGGGAGCGAUCCGG
rnacentral:rRNA from 1 species